UUGGACAAUGGGGGCAACCCUGAUCCAGCCAUGCCGCGUGAGUGAAGAAGGCCCUCGGGUUGUAAAGCUCUUUUGUCCGGAAAGAAAAGCUUCGGGUUAAUACCCCGGGGUUCUGACGGUACCGGAAGAAUAAGCACCGGCUAACUUCGUGCCAGCAGCCGCGGUAAUACGAAGGGUGCAAGCGUUACUCGGAAUUACUGGGCGUAAAGCGUGCGUAGGCGGUCUGUUAAGUCUGCUGUGAAAUCCCCGGGCUCAACCUACGAAUGGCCGCGGCAACUCGCUCGCUAGAGUACGGUAGAGGAUGGUGGAAGACCCGGUGUAGCGGUGAAAUGCGUAGAGAUCGGGAGGAACACCAGUGGCGAAGGCGGCCAUCUGGAACAGUACUGACGCAGAGGCACGAAAG
rnacentral:rRNA from 1 species